rnacentral:rRNA from 1 species
UACAGAGGGUGCGAGCGUUGUUCGGAUUCACUGGGCGUAAAGGGUGCGUAGGCGGUUCUGAAAGUCUGAUGUGAAAUCUCCGGGCCCAACCCGGAAAUGGCAUUAGAAACUACAGGGCUAGAGGCUUGGAGGGGGAACUGGAAUUCUCGGUGUAGCAGUGAAAUGCGUAGAGAUCGAGAGGAACACCAGUGGCGAAGGCGAGUUCCUGGACAAGUCCUGACGCUGAGGCACGAAAGCCAGGGGAGCAAACAGG